rnacentral:rRNA from 1 species
UACGUAGGGUGCGAGCGUUGUCCGGAAUUACUGGGCGUAAAGAGUUCGUAGGCGGUUUGUCGCGUCGUUUGUGAAAACUCGGGGCUUAACCCCGGGCCUGCAGUGGGUACGGGCAGACUAGAGUGCGGUAGGGGAGACUGGAAUUCCUGGUGUAGCGGUGAAAUGCGCAGAUAUCAGGAGGAACACCGGUGGCGAAGGCGGGUCUCUGGGCCGUAACUGACGCUGAGGAGCGAAAGCGUGGGGAGCGAACAGG